rnacentral:misc_RNA from 1 species
AUAAUGGAGGGUGAGGCUGAAAGCAAAGCUUCAAGCUCUCCCAGCAACUUACAGUGCUUCACCAAAGAUGCAAAUCCUAAUCUUUCUAUUUCCCUUCACAACAAAUCUAAAAGAGAGCCUGGAGGAUGGAAGAGCAUGCCUUACAUCCUUGGAAAUGAAACCUUUGAAAGAUUAGCUUCAAUGGGAUUACUAGCCAAUUUCAUGGUGUACCUAAUCAAAAUAUAUCAUAUGAAUCAAGUUUCCGCCACCAGCUUAAUGGGUCUAUGGACCGGCGUCACCAAUUUCUUGCCCCUCCUCGGCGCCUUUCUCUCCGACGCUUAUAUUGGCCGCUAUUGGACUAUUGCAAUUGCUUCCGUUUUUUCCUUUCUCGGGAUGGCUUCCAUGACACUAACGGCGUGGUUGCCGCAGCUACAUCCGCCUGGGUGCAACGGAUCAACGAAAUGCUCAGGGCCGACGGCUUCCCAAUUGGGAUUCUUGGUAAUGAGUCUUUGUUUAGUAUCAAUCGGAAGCGCCGGAAUCAGGCCGUGUAGUAUUCCAUUUGGGGUUGAUCAA